GAGGAUAUAGCUCAGUAGUAGAGUGUACACUUAGCAUGCAUGAGGUCCUGGGUUCAGUCCCCAGUACCUCCA
rfam:Camelus ferus unplaced genomic scaffold scaffold131, whole genome shotgun sequence.